ensembl:snRNA U6 U6 spliceosomal RNA
GUGCUCACUUCGGCAGCAUAUACACUAAAAUUGGAGUGAUACAGAGAUUAGCUUGGCCCCUGCCCAAGGAUGACAUGCAAAUUCAGGAAACAUUCCAUAUUUUU